rnacentral:rRNA from 1 species
GACGAACGCUGGCGGCGUGCUUAACACAUGCAAGUCGAACGAAGUGGCGAACGGGGGAGUAAUACGUGGGUAACCUGCCCUCCUGGUUGGGGUAAGCCUUGGGAAAGGGGACUAAUACCGAAGAUAGGGGGAGGGGAUCGGGGCGUAGGAGCUUGUUGGGGGGGUGGUGGCCUACCAAGGCGGUGACGGGUAGGCGGUCUGAGAGGGUGACCGGCCACACUGGGACUGAGACACGGCCCAGACUCCUACGGGAGGCAGCAGUGGGGAAUAUUGCGCAAUGGGGGCAAGCCUGAUGCAGCCAUGCCGCGUGUAUGAAGAAGGCCUUAGGGUUGUAAAGUACUGUCAGUCGGGAGGCGUUACCGACAGAAGAAGCACCGGCUAACUCCGUGCCAGCCGCCGCGGUAAUAC